rnacentral:rRNA from 1 species
AGUGCAUGUGGUGGAUGCCUUGGCGAUUACAGGCGAUGAAGGACGCGGUAGCCUGCGAAAAGCUUCGGGGAGCUGGCAAACGAGCUUUGAUCCGGAGAUGUCCGAAUGGGGAAACCCGGCCCGAAUGGGUCAUCCCUGACUGAAUACAUAGGUCAGGGAAGCGAACGCGGCGAACUGAAACAUCUAAGUAGCUGCAGGAACAGAAAUCAACCGAGAUUCCCAAAGUAGUGGCGAACGAAAUGGGAAGAGCCUUGUACUCUUUAGCAGCAUUGUUAGCAGAACGGGAUGGAAAGCCCGGCCAUAGCAGGUGAUAGCCCUGUAUGCGAAAACAGCGUUGUGGAACUAGGUGUACGACAAGUAGGGCGGGACACGUGAAAUCCUGUCUGAAGAUGGGGGGACCAUCCUCCAAGGCUAAAUACUCGUAAUCGACCGAUAGUGAACCAGUACCGUGAGGGAAAGGCGAAAAGAACCCCGGGAGGGGAGUGAAAUAGAUCCUGAAACCGCAUGCAUACAAACAGUCGGAGCCUGGAAACGGGUGACGGCGUACCUUUUGUAUAAUGGGUCAGCGACUUACAUUCAGUGGCAAGCUUAACCGAUUAGGGAAGGCGUAGCGAAAGCGAGUCCGAAUAGGGCGUUGAGUCGCUGGGUGUAGACCCGAAACCAGAUGAUCUAUCCAUGGCCAGGUUGAAGGUGCGGUAACACGUACUGGAGGACCGAACCCACUAACGUUGAAAAGUUAGGGGAUGAGCUGUGGAUAGGGGUGAAAGGCUAAACAAAUCUGGAAAUAGCUGGUUCUCUCCGAAAACUAUUUAGGUAGUGCCUCGUGUCUCACCUUCGGGGGUAGAGCACUGUCAUGGUUGGGGGGUCUAUUGCUGAUUACCCCGCCAUAGCAAACUCCGAAUACCGAAGAGUGCAAUCACGGGAGACAGACAUCGGGUGCUAACGUCCGGUGUCAAGAGGGAAACAACCCAGACCGCCAGCUAAGGUCCCAAAGAUUGGCUAAGUGGGAAACGAAGUGGGAAGGCUAAAACAGUCAGGAGGUUGGCUUAGAAGCAGCCACCCUUUAAAGAAAGCGUAAUAGCUCACUGAUCGAGUCGUCCUGCGCGGAAGAUGUAACGGGGCUAAGCCAGUCACCGAAGCUGCGGACGCACGCAAGUGCGUGGUAGGAGAGCGUUCUGUAAGCCUGUGAAGGUGUCUUGUAAAGGAUGCUGGAGGUAUCAGAAGUGCGAAUGCUGACAUGAGUAGCGAUAAAGGGGGUGAAAGGCCCCCUCGCCGUAAGCCCAAGGUUUCCUACGCAACGUUCAUCGGCGUAGGGUGAGUCGGCCCCUAAGGCGAGGCAGAGAUGCGUAGCUGAUGGGAAGCAGGUUAAUAUUCCUGCACCGUCGUAUGAUGCGAUGGGGGGACGGAUCGCGGAAGGUUGUCCGGGUGUUGGAAGUCCCGGUCCCUGCAUUGGAGAAGGCGCUUAGGCAAAUCCGGGCGCGGAAUUCAAGGAUGUGGGGCGAGCGGCCUAGUGCUGCGAAGCAAUUGGAAGUGGUUCCAAGAAAAGCCUCUAAGCUUCAGUCAUACGAGACCGUACCGCAAACCGACACAGGUGGGCGAGAUGAGUAUUCUAAGGCGCUUGAGAGAACUCGGGAGAAGGAACUCGGCAAAUUGGUACCGUAACUUCGGGAUAAGGUACGCCCUUGUAGCUUGACUGGCCUGCGCCAGGAGGGUGAAGGGGUUGCAAUAAAAUGGUGGCUGCGACUGUUUAAUAAAAACACAGCACUCUGCAAACACGAAAGUGGACGUAUAGGGUGUGACGCCUGCCCGGUGCCGGAAGGUUAAUUGAUGGGGUUAGCGCAAGCGAAGCUCUUGAUCGAAGCCCCGGUAAACGGCGGCCGUAACUAUAACGGUCCUAAGGUAGCGAAAUUCCUUGUCGGGUAAGUUCCGACCUGCACGAAUGGCGUAACGAUGGCCACACUGUCUCCACCCGAGACUCAGCGAAGUUGAAGUGUUUGUGAUGAUGCAAUCUCCCCGCGGCUAGACGGAAAGACCCCAUGAACCUUUACUGUAGCUUUGCAUUGGACUUUGAACCGAUCUGUGUAGGAUAGGUGGGAGGCUUUGAAGCGUGGACGCUAGUUCACGUGGAGCCGUCCUUGAAAUACCACCCUGGUUUGUUUGAGGUUCUAACCUUGGCCCGUGAAUCCGGGUCGGGGACAGUGCAUGGUAGGCAGUUUGACUGGGGCGGUCUCCUCCCAAAGUGUAACGGAGGAGUUCGAAGGUACGCUUGGUACGGUCGGACAUCGUACCUAAAGUGCAAUGGCAAAAGCGUGCUUAACUGCGAGACCGACAAGUCGAGCAGGUGCGAAAGCAGGACAUAGUGAUCCGGUGGUUCUGAAUGGAAGGGCCAUCGCUCAACGGAUAAAAGGUACUCUGGGGAUAACAGGCUGAUACCGCCCAAGAGUUCAUAUCGACGGCGGUGUUUGGCACCUCGAUGUCGGCUCAUCACAUCCUGGGGCUGUAGCCGGUCCCAAGGGUAUGGCUGUUCGCCAUUUAAAGUGGUACGUGAGCUGGGUUUAAAACGUCGUGAGACAGUUUGGUCCCUAUCUGCCGUGGGCGUUGGAAUCUUGACGGGGGCUGCUCCUAGUACGAGAGGACCGGAGUGGACGUACCGCUGGUGUACCUGUUGUCUCGCCAGAGGCAUCGCAGGGUAGCUAUGUACGGAAGAGAUAACCGCUGAAAGCAUCUAAGCGGGAAACUUGCCUGAAGAUGAGGAUUCCCUGGAGACUUGAUCUCCCUGAAGGGUCGUUCGAGACCAGGACGUUGAUAGGCUGGGUGUGGAAGCGCAGUAAUGCGUUAAGCUAACCAGUACUAAUUGCCCGUAAGGCUUGAUC